CUCAUCCUCUCCUCCCCAUUGUUUUCAAAUCUUUCUUUCUCCAUUGUUGCGCCGCCCAUAGCUCUUAAUUUACCAUCAAUUUCUUUUCUUUUUUCCACAAGUUAUUGUAUCAUCUCCCCCACCAUCUUGAAUUCAUUUUUCCCUAAAAUAUUUAGUCCCAAAUUUGAAAUCUUAGACCUCCAAGAUCAAUUCCUAUUGUUGCUAAGAGGUGCCAUUGCCACCCCUAUCAUCUAGCCUGUGUAAGAUCUUCUUUUCUCUUAAUUUCUUGGUAAAUAUUGUGUGAUAAAAACCCAAAAUUCUAGAUCUAUAAUUUGGGGGAUUUUUAAAUAUUUAAUGGGUAUUUUUUCAGAUUUUUUUUAUCUUAAAAGUGGUUUUAAGUCAGCCCCAACUUGGCCACCAUGGGUGGUGGUACACGCGCAUAUAUGCUAGAAAAGGGGGUUGUUCUUCUUUAAUUCCUUCCCAUAUUUUCUAGAAUUAUAUUGAGUUCUUGAAUCCCCCCUAAUCAGCCUUUAAUCAUGUGUUAAUUAGGGAAAAUCGAUAUUGAUCAAUCAACAAUUCAGAUCUGACAAUUCGAGAAGCAUAAGUAUGGUUGAUUGUAAACUAGUUUAUAGUUUCGGUUUAAAUAUUGGGGAUAGAUUUUUAAUUGGUAAAAAUAGAGGAUUUUAAUCAUAUAUUAGCUAAAUAUUUUACAGUAUUUAAAUGUGUUUAGGUGCCGACUUAAAUGCCCCAAGUCAACAGUGAGGCCGAAAGACAUUCGCGCGAACAAUUUGC
rnacentral:lncRNA from 1 species